rnacentral:rRNA from 1 species
AUUGAACGCUGGCGGAAUGCUUUACACAUGCAAGUCGAACGGCAGCACGGACUUCGGUCUGGUGGCGAGUGGCGAACGGGUGAGUAAUGUAUCGGAACGUGCCCAGUCGUGGGGGAUAACGUAGUGAAAAUUACGCUAAUACCGCAUACGAUCUAUGGAUGAAAGCGGGGGAUCGCAAGACCUCGCGCGAUUGGAGCGGCCGAUUUCAGAUUAGGUAGUUGGUGGGGUAAAGGCCCACCAAGCCAACGAUCUGUAGCUGGUCUGAGAGGACGACCAGCCACACUAGAACUGAGACACGGUCCAGACUCCUACGGGAGGCAGCAGUGGGGAAUUUUGGACAAUGGGCGAAAGCCUGAUCCAGCCAUUCCGCGUGCAGGAUGAAGGCCCUCGGGUUGUAAACUGCUUUUGUACAGAACGAAAAGGUUUCUACUAAUACUAGGAGCUCAUGACGGUACUGUAAGAAUAAGCACCGGCUAACUACGUGCCAGCCGCCGCAGUAA